rnacentral:rRNA from 1 species
AGUCACUGACAUUAGAUACCCGGGUAGUCCUAGCCGUAAACGAUACUCGCUAGGUGUCGGCCACGGUGCGACCGUUGUCGGUGCCGUAGGGAAGCCGUGAAGCGAGCCACCUGGGAAGUACGGCCGCAAGGCUGAAACUUAAAGGAAUUGGCGGGGAGCACCACAACGGGUGGAGCUUGCGGUUUAAUUGGAUUCAACGCCGGAAAUCUUACCGGGACCGACAGCAACAUGAAGGCCAGGCUGAAGACUUUGCCGGAUUAGCUG